AUGGCCCUAAAGGCUGAGGGCACUGCACCUGACUGCUUGAGGUGAUGCUCAAAUGUGAGGAAGGGGAGAAUGAGAAGGAUGCCAUGGUUGUGGCCCUAAUUCCACAGGUUUAGUUGAUGUUAAGAGUGACCCAACAAGAGAAGACCUGACUGCCUAGACCCAGCCCUCUGGAGGUGGGCAGCAAUGACUGUGAGGAGCCCAAGCAGCAUGUGUCUUGGGACCAGGAGUUUCUGGUGGGCAGCAGCCCAAGAUGAAGUGGGCCUGCACUGUGCAUGGUGUGUGGCACUGAGAUCCUGGCACCCUCAGCUGACGUGGCUUACUAGCACAUCCUGGAGCAGCAUCCUCACAGUGUGGACUUGAGUCCUUCCAAGAAGAACAACAUCCUGGAGACCUGGAGUGAAGGGGUGGCUCUCUUGCAAGACGUCAGAGCUGAGCAGUCGUCCACACCCAACUCAGACUCAGGCCAGGAUGCCCAACUAGACCCAGACUCUAACCCAGACUCUGGCAGAAUGCCAGCUGAAAUUGUCAUUCUCCUGGACUCUGAGAAUAACCCAUCCCUCCCUUAAAGGAGCCAACCCAGGGGAUUCUGUCUCCUCAAGCUUCUUGCUGCCCUUGCCACAGAGCCAGGAAAUAAGAAGCCCUGUGGUCAGAGAUGGAAGCCCCCAGGGGCGAGGAAGCCAGAAAGAAAAGAGGCAGACCAAACAAAAACAACCUGGACCCUGACCCAGAGCCCCCACUUCCAGACUCAUUCAUGGAGACUUUUGCAGCACUAGCCGAGAUCUGAUACCUCACUGGUGGCAGCUUCCCUGUUGGCUUCGUCCUGCAGCUCUUUUCCCACACCAAGCUCAGGGGCCCAGACAAUAAGGACUCACCCAAGACAGGGAAUUGGCAGAAUGAGGCCUUCCCCGGGUGGAGAGCCCCUCCUCAGCUCCCACUCUGGGGCUCCACGGGACACUGGAUCUUAAGGUUAGCCACAUGAUGAUGGAAGAACCCCUGGUGGUCAGCCUCCUGCAAGACUGGUCCAAACACCCCCAGGGCAUCAAGCAUGUGAAAGCAGGUGACAUGUUUAUAUGGCCCAUGGUUCUGUCGGAAUCCAACACCACGUGGCGUGAUAGCCAGAGAAAGGAAAUGGAGUGUUCUUGCUUUCCUGGGGAGGCAGUGUCCCCCCUUGUAGCUUAUAACGCAGAGCUUCCUGCCUCAGCCACCUGGUGGAUAGCAUAGAAGCAGGUGCCAAAGGAGGAGAGUGCUGGGGCAGCAUUCACUGUUAUUUUGGGGCACUGGAACAUGUCUGCUCCUGGCAGGACUGAGGUCGGCAAGAGUGGCUGAGGGUGUCAUGCAGAAGGGCACUGGGCCUGUAAAGAACACCUACCCCAGUCCUUUGCUGACCUCCACCUCUCUGUCUCCCAUGAUCUCCUCCACUCUCCCCCGUUCCCCAACAUUCUCCCUUGGCACAGUGCCUUACAUAAGAGGUGGUCCUAAGGGGGUUUGAACUGAGUCCCUACUACCUCAGGAGAUACGUCACUUCUCUACUUGUUCAGGCUCCUAAACCAGGAGGCAUCUAUUAUCUCUUCCUGUUCCACCCCUCCAGAGGCCUGAAGCUGCCUGCCUGGCUGCCCCAUUCACUCCCAUUCUCCUUUUCAUCUAUUUCCCUGUUGUAUAUAUCACCUUCGUUGACAAUAAGUAAAAAGUUGGGCAUGGUGUCAUGUGCUUGUAAUCCCAGCUACUCAAGAGUCUCAGGUAGGAGGAUUGCUUAAGUUCAGGAGUUUGAGAUCAACCUGGGCAACUUAGCAAGACCCUCUCUCAAAAAAAAAAAAAAAAUUAAAGAAAUGUAUGGCAACAAUGACUUGCAACAGAAUGCUAAUAAACAGAAAUAAUUAAAAAGCCAAACAAAAUUUCAGGAUAUAACAAGUAAAAUAUUGUCUCUUUUAUAUUUUUGUUUUCACAUGUUUAUUGUUAGCAGAUAUAAAUAAAUUUUUAUGUUCAUGUCUUAUGUAUUAUAUCCUGCAACCUUGCCAACUCACUUGUUAUAGCAGUAUUUUUUUCUGUUCAUUGGGAUUUUUCGUAUACAAAAUUGUCCUCUGCAGUGACUUCUUUACUUUUCUUUUCAUAUGUAUUCCAUUCAUUUCUUUUUAUUGCCUUACUGCAUUGACUAGACUUCCCUGUAUUAUGUUGAAUAGGAGUGACAUGAGCAAACAUCCUUGCCUUAUUCCCUAAAGCCAAGGGAAAACAUUUAGUCUUUCACUGUUGAGUAUGUUGGUACCUGUAGGAUUUUUGUGUCUGCCCUUUGUGUCAAGGAAUUUCCCUUUUAUUCCUAAGUUACUGAGAGAGUUUUUUAAAAUUAAUUAAUUAAUUUUUUUUUUAUACGGAGUCUCGCUCUGUUGCCAGGCUGGAGUGCAGUGGUACCAUCUCAGCUCACUGCAACCUCCACCUCCCGAGUUCAAGCAAUUCUCCUGCCUCAGCCUCCCGAGUAGCUGGGACUACAGGUGCACGCCACCACACCCAGCUAAUUUUUGUAUUUUUAGUAGAGACAGGGUUUCACCAUGUUAGCCAGGAUGGUCUCAAUUUUUUGACCUCAUGAUUUGCCCAUCUUGGCCUCCCAAAGUGCUGGGAUUACAGGCAUGAGCCACCGCACCUGGUGAGAGGUUUUUUAAAUCAUAAUGAAAGUUGAAUAUUAUCUAAAAAUUUUAUGCUUCAAUUGGUAUGAUUUCAUCUUUAUCUUGUUGAUAUGGUAAAUUACAUCAAUUUUGAAAUGCUGAAUAGCCUUACAUACCUGGAAUACAUCUUAACAGUCGAGGUAUAUCAUUAUCUUUUAUGUUUCUGUAUUCAGUUUGCUAGUAUUUUCUAGAGAAUUUUUUAUUUAUGAGAGAUACUGAUCUGCAGUUAAGCAAACAUCUUUGCCUAAUUUGGGUAUCACGGUGAUAAGGUUUGGUUCUGCGUCACCACUCAAAUCACGUCUCAAACUGUAAUCCACAUGUGUCAAGGGAGGGACCAGGUGAGAGGUGAAUGUGUCAUAGGGAAAGUUUACCCCAUGCUGUUCUCAUGAUAGUGACUGAGAUCUCACGAGAUCUGAUGGUCUUAUAAGGGUUUGGCACGUCCUCCACACACUUUCUCUCUCCUGAAACCAUGUAAGGUAUGCAUGCUUGCCCUUCUGCUAUGAUUGUAAGUUUCUUGAGGCCUUUCAGCCAUGAGAAACAGUGAGUCAAUUAAACCUCUUUCCUUUAUAAAUUACCCAGUAUCAGGAUUGUUUUUUGCAGUGUAAAAAUGGACUAAUAUGGUAAAUUAGUACCAGUUGCUAUAAAGAUAACCUGAAAAGGUGGAAGCAACUUUGGAACUGGGUAAUGGGAAGAGUUUUGGGGGCUCAGAAGAAGACAGGAAGAUGUGGGAAAGUUUGGAACUUCCUAGAGAUUUGUUGAUUGGCUUUGACCAAAGUACUGAUAGUUAUGUGGACAAUAAAGUCCAGGCUGAGGUGGUCUCAGAUGGAGAUGAGAAGCUUAUUGGGAACUGGAGUAAAUAUCACACUUGCUAUGCUUUAGCAAAGAGACUGGUGGCAUUGUGCCCCUGCCCUAGAAAUCUGUGAAAUGUUGAACUUGAGAGAGAUAAUUUAGGGUAUCUGGCAGAAGAAAUUCUAAGCAGCAAAGCAUUCAAGAGGUGAGAGUGUAAAAGUUUGGAAAAUGUGCAGCCUGACCAUGUGGUAAAAAAGAAAAAUCCAUUUUCUGGCAAGAAAUUCAAGUCAGCUACAGAAAUUUGCAUAAGUAAUGUGGAGUCAAAUGUUAAUCACCAAGACAAUGAAGAAAAUAUCUCCAGGACAUGUCAGAGAUCUUCAUGGCAGACCCUCCAGCUCCAGUUAUGGCUAAACCGGAAGGUACAGUGAUGGCUGCUGCUUCAGAGGGUGCAAGCCCCAUGCCUUGGUGGCUCCCACAUGGCAUCAGACCUGCAGGUGCACAGAAGUCAAGAAUUGAAGUUGGGAAUCUUCACCUAGAGUUCAGAGGAUGUAUGAAAAUGCCUAGAUGUCCAGGUAGAAGUUUGCUGUCAGGGCAGAGUCCUCAUGAAGUACCUCUGCUAAGGUAGAGUGCAGAAAGGAAAUGUGAGGAUAAAACCCCCUCACAGAAUCCCCACUGGGGCACUGCCUAGUGGAGGUGUGAGAAGAGGGCCACCAUCCUCCAGAUCCCAGAAUGGUAGAUCCUAGAACAGUUUGCACUGUGCACCUGGAAAAGAUGCAGGCACUCAACACCAGCCCAUGGGAGCAGCUGCAGGGGCUGAACCCAGCAAAGCUACAAAGGCAAAGCUGCCCAAGGUCUUGGGGGCUCACCCUUUGCAUCAGUGUGCCCUGGAUGUGAGACAUGGAGUAAAAAAAAUUAUUUUGGAGCAUGAAGAUUUAAUGACUGCCCUACCAAGAUUUCAGACUUGCAUGGGGCCUGUGGCCCCUUUGUUUUAGCAAAUUUCUCCCAUUUGGAAUGAAACAUUUACCCAAUGCCUGUACCCCCAUAGUAUCUUGGAAGUAACUAACUUGCUUUUGAUUUUAUAAGCUCAGAGGCAGAAGGAACUUGCCUUGUCUUAAAUGAGACUUUGGACUUGGACUUUCAUGUUAAUACUGAAAUGAAUUAAGACUUUGGAGGACUAUUGGAAAGGCAUGGUUGGUUUUAAAAUGUGAAAAGAGCAUGAGAUUUGGGAGGGGCCAGGGGAAAAUGAUAUGGUUUGUUUCUCUGUCCCCACCCAAAUCUGUAAUCUUCAUUUGUUGAGGGAGGGAUUUGGUAAAGGGUGGUUAGAUCAUGAGGGUGGUUUCCUCCAUGCUGUUCCCUUGAUAGUGAGUGGGUUCUCAUAAGAUUUGAUGAUGGUUUUAUAAGUGGUUGGCAUUCCUCUUCCCUCUUUUCUGCCAUCAUGCAAGACACGACUGUUUCCCCUUUCACCAUGAUAGUGAGUUUCCUGAGGCCUGCCUAGAUAUGCUGAACUGUGAGAUGACUAAACCUCUUUCCUUUAUAAAUUACCCAAUCUAGGUCAUUUCUUUUUAGCAGUGUGGAAAUGGACUAUGGAAACGGACUAAUACACAAGGUAAUACUAGUCUUAUAGAAACUAUUUGGGGGGAACUGGUCGGGAUGAGUGGUGGAGGGACAGAGACCUCUGUGGGUUGUGAGGCCACCCUGGGCUGAGGCAGCAACAAGAGGGACUCCCUGGGAACCGCGGGCUCUGUGCACCUCAUUAUCAAGGAUCUUGGAGAAAUUCAUUCAAGGCUUUUGGAUCACAGACCAGUUAUUCAAGGAGAAACUCGUUAUUUUGUAAAAGAAUUUGAAGAGAAACAUGGUCUUUGAGAAAUGCCUGUUCUUGAAAAUUUGAAGAAUAUAAUCCAUGAAACAAAUGAACAUACUCUUCCCAGAUGUAGGGACAAAAUGUGGGACAAUCUCAGCCAAGUUCUCCAGAGAUAUUCAUAGUGACCACUUAAUAGCUAGUGAGAAACAGCACAUGCUCCAGUGGGAUGACUGGGAUGACUUCAUGAAGGAGCAGCCCAACAAACGGGCCGAAGUGGAUGAAGAGCACAGAAAAGCCAUGGAGAGGCUUAAAGAACAAUACGCUGAGAUGGAGAAGAACCUAGCAAAAUUUUCAACCUUCUAAGAACUUGAACCACAACAACCACAAAACUAAUGAGAUGUUCACCUCUCUCCUGAAAAACAUCCCCAUCAAACCACUUAGCCUCUGCUUCAAGCUUAGCAAUACAUUCAAUGGUACUCUUACACCAGAAGAAAGAAGCUUCUACUGUCAUCCUGAUUGGAUGUUUAAAGAAGAGUGCCACAUAUUUCCAGCUUUAAGUACCUAUAUAUGAUUAUUUGGAAGAGGAAUAGGAAGGAAAAUAGAACAAAUAUACUCUUGGUUAGUCAGAAUUGAUCAUCUUUUCCAUUGAUUAGCUCAGAGAACUGUAGGUGUAGACUUCUUAGGAAGAUCAUGUAAUCCAUUUUUAUACAGGGUGAACAAUAGUUUAUUAUUGUGGCUUAAUGGGCAGGUAUAGAAGCUGCCUGUCAUAGCCUCCUUGGCUGUUGGAAGAAUGUAUAAAGUGUUAUUGCAUGAGUAAAGUAGAAAAAAAAACUCAGCUGUCCUUGGAGCAGAGAUCACAUUUCAGAGAGGUGAGAGUGAAAACAUUAUCUCUACUGCGGCAAAGGUGUCCAUGUUGUUGUUUGAACUGCCUCUUGGGAAGGGUUGCAGAUUUUACAGUGCAGCAUAAUGCCAUGUACUUCCAUGGAUGAGAAGACAUACAUGUUAAGUUUUGCUGCCUUCCAGCACAAAACUAUUUUCAGCUUUUAAAGCAUGCUUAGAAGGAAAAGUUUACCAAAAAUAUAAUGACAUUUAGUUUUUCCAAGAACUAUAAUCUUGCCCAUAGUAUUUACAUCAUUUUCGUGUCUCUUUUGCUAUGGGUAAGCUUUAUAAGAUAAAUAAAAUCUAUACAUGUUUCGACUGUUUAAUGAGUAAUCAACAGAAUCUGCCAGGGAGUCCCUCUGGAACCAUAUAAAGUUCCUGGCUUUGAAGGAACCAGAAGUGUUUGCCCACAUGGCAAAUGAUCCAUGUUAAAUAUAAGCCCUUUUUAGUGUUAAAUGUCUAUUUUCAUAAGCAUGUAUAUGAUGAUGAAAUGUGUACCAAUUCUGUCAUCACCAUGAUCUUUAAAAAUCUGCAUUUAACAAUCAAAUUGAAGCCAGGUGCAGUGGCUCAUGCCUGUAAUCCCAGCACUUUGGGAGGCUGAGGCAGGCGGAUCAUUUGAGGUCAGGAGUUCAAGACCAGCCUAGCCAACAUGGUGAAUCCCUGUCUCUACUAAUAAUACAAAAAUUAGCCGGGCAUGGUGAUGCACGCCUGUGAUCCCAGCUACUCAGGAGGCUCAGGCAUGAGAAUCACUUGAACCCGGGAGGCGGAGAUUGCAAUGAGCCGAGAUUGUGCCACUGCAUUCCAGCCUGGGCAACAGAGCAAGACUCCAUUAAAAAAAAUAUAUACUUGAAGAACUAAGUUGAUUUUUUUUUGUUUGCCAUAAACCAAGCAAAAGUAAAAUGCAAUAAUUUCAAGAGGUUUAUGGUAAACAAAUUUGAGGUAUGAAUAAAUCUUCCACAUAUUUUUUAUUGCUCUUUAGUAAAGAAAGGCAGAAAAAAGAAAAUACCCAGCUCUCUUGUGUUAUCUCCGUGUGGCAACUCCAUAAAAUUGACAAUGCUUGCCUGUGUUGAAUUUAUGGCUUAAUGUCAAAGUUUCAUUCUUGGCUGCAUGUUGAAAACCUGAUUAAAGUUAAUAGAGGAGA